rnacentral:rRNA from 1 species
AUUGAACGCUGGCGGCGUGCUUAACACAUGCAAGUCGAACGAAGUGGCGAACGGGUGAGUAACGCGUAAUCAACCUGCCCUUCAGAGGGGGACAACAGUUGGAAACGACUGCUAAUACCGCAUACUGAAGGAGGGGAUUGCGUCGGAUUAGCUAGUUGGAGGGGUAACGGCCCACCAAGGCGAUGAUCAGUAGCCGGGCGGGGAGGGGGAACGGCCACAUUGGGACGGGGAAACGGCCCAGACUCCUACGGGAGGCAGCAGGGGGGAAUCUUUCGCAAUGGACGAAAGUCUGACGGAGCAACGCCGCGUGAGUGAUGACGGCCUUCGGGUUGGAAAGCUCUGUUAAUCGGGACGCGGUACCGGAAUAGAAAGCCACGGCUAACUACGUGCCAGCAGCCGCGGUAAUAC